rnacentral:rRNA from 1 species
GUCCACGCAGUAAACGAUGAGUGCUAGUUGUCGGGAUCAUAGAUUUCGGUGGCGAAGCUAACGCGUUAAGCACUCCGCCUGGGGACUACGGUCGCAAGACUAAAACUCAAAGGAAUUGACGGGGACCCGCACAAGCAGUGGAUCAUGUGGUUUAAUUCGAUGCUACACGAAAAACCUUACCAACCCUUGAAUCUGGGUGACCGGUACAGAGAUGUACUUUUGGAGCAAUCCACACCCAAGACAGGUGCUGCAUGGCUGUCGU